GGCUAGCUCAGUUGUAGAGUGUGGGACUCUUAAUCCCAAGGUUGUGGGUUCAAGUCCCACAGUGGCUG
rnacentral:tRNA from 1 species